UGGAAUUUCCUCCUUUGAUCUGCCACCACAUUUCAUGCUCUACUUCCUCCCUAAUGUUGAUCAUUUUCCUCCAUCCCUGUGAUACACCAGAACUCGUAACCAUCACAGGGUGGAGCUUUUUGCAGUACUUAUUCCACAUGUACUUUGCCCAUAAUGAUGUGGACACUCGAAAGUUCCACCAUAGUUUAGCAAAUAAAGCAUCAUUGAUGUCAUGUAAUGAUCUAAAGCCAAAAAACCCUUCAGCUUUUGGAAAACAUAACUCUUUCCAUGUCACCCAAUGCUUUUCUUUAAUUCCACCCAAAUUUCCCC
rnacentral:lncRNA from 1 species